rnacentral:rRNA from 1 species
GACGAACGCUGGCGGCGUGCCUAACACAUGCAAGUCGAACGGAACUUCUUUAAAGGAUUUCUUCGGAAUGAAUUUGAUUAAGUUUAGUGGCGGACGGGUGAGUAACGCGUGAGUAACCUGCCUCUGAGAGGGGAAUAACAUUCUGAAAAGAUGCUAAUACCGCAUAAUAUAUAUUUAUCGCAUGGUAGAUAUAUCAAAGAUUUAUCGCUUAGAGAUGGACUCGCGUCCGAUUAGUUAGUUGGUGAGGUAACGGCUCACCAAGACCGCGAUCGGUAGCCGGACUGAGAGGUUGAACGGCCACAUUGGGACUGAGACACGGCCCAGACUCCUACGGGAGGCAGCAGUGGGAAUAUUGCACAAGUGGGGGAAACCCUGAUGCAGCGACGCCGCGUGGA